CAGUAAAGGACAAAUCUGUGCUAAAAAUAUAGAAUAUAGUCGGACAUAGUACAUGUAUUGUAAGUAGUAUGUAGUAAUUAACCCCUUAACUCGGGAGGGCGUACUAUUACGCCCUGCAGGAGCCGGCUCUAAACGCCGGCGGGCGUAAUAGUAUGCCCUCGCUAUAAUGAUCGCCCGCUGCAGAUCGCGGUCGGGGGGGAUGCCUGGCCCCCCAGGCAACCCCCUUGUGGCCGGUGACCGCGAUCUGCAGUCUCUGAUCGCAG